UACGUAGGGGGCAAGCGUUGUCCGGAUUUAUUGGGCGUAAAGAGCGUGUAGGCGGCCAGGUAGGUCCGCUGUGAAAACUCGAGGCUCAACCUCGAGAUGUCGGCGGAAACCAUCUGGCUAGAGUCCGGAAGAGGAGAGUGGAAUUCCUGGUGUAGCGGUGAAAUGCGCAGAUAUCAGGAAGAACACCCGUGGCGAAGGCGGUCUCUGGGACGGUACUGACGCUGAGACGCGAAAGCGUGGGGAGCGAACAGG
rnacentral:rRNA from 1 species